rnacentral:lncRNA from 1 species
UUUAGAAAAGAUUUUAGAGACUACAAAGGAAAACUUCUGCAAAAAAUAGAAAACAGGCUGAAAUUUCAUUAAAAACUACUGUUUCAUUGAACUUCUUCUGGAUUUUCUUGGAAGUUUUCAAUUUCUGAAGCACUUUUGAUUCAUCUGGGGUAAAAUGGACUAAACUUGGGUAUUGAAAAGAACUGGUUUGGGUUUUGUUGAUUGGUCUACUAUUUUAUUGAUUCUUCUAAGUGGAUUUUCACUUUUGGUUGCUGAAUCUGGGCUAAAUUUCUGCUGCUACUUUGCUGAUCUCUCACUUACCUGUUUCUAUUUCAAUUUCCAAGUACACAAUCUUAAGUCCUAUUGAUUGUGAAAUGGAUUUGAGGAGUGAAAUACAAAGCAAAAGGCUUAAAGCAUGGUGUUGAUUUAUUUGAGUUUCAGAUGUAUCUCUUUUCAAUGAUUGUGUUUUAGUAAAUUUAGUUCUUAUCCCUGUAUGUUAUCAUGGGAAUGUUAAGACUGUCGCAACAGAGGUUUAAUUUGGUUGUUAAUAGACUCUGGACUUUUUGUUUAGGUCUUACUAAAGAUUAGUAUUGCUUCAGCUCUAUUGUCCAUUUGAAUUUGUUAGAUGUCAAGUAUUGGUUCGUCGUUUGUGUUGACUUAACCAAGUCAUGCCUUGUUAGCAUACUAUACUUUUGCAGUCAUAUCUGUUGUAUUGAGC